CAGCUCCGUGCGCAUGCGCGCCGUGGGCGAGCGGAGGCAGCGGUUCGCUGUGGGCACGGCGGCAGCGGGCCCGGGAAAUGGCGGAGACGGGGGUUUGGGGCAGGAACGCCCGCUGGAAGAAUAGAAGUGGUACAGAAAUCUGUGGAUGAAAUUGCCCAGAGAGAAGACAGCAGGAGGAAAGAGUUAAAGUCCAGAGGAAAGGGCUCUAUAAUCUGCGUGGACAGCUGGAGAGGGAAGCUGCUGUCCUGUAGUGACAGACAGAAGGCUGAUGGCUGCUGGUGUCCUGAGUGCAAAUUUUAAAAAGUUUACUUCGCCAGGAAUUGCCAAGGAGAGGAAUUACCUGAUUAUAUAUCCUUGCGUUGUGGAUUUAUUUUAAACUCUCUGCAGUGUUUGACAAUGAAGAUUCCUUAUCCUUUUGAGCUUGAGCUUUAAGGCCAGGAAACAUAUUCCCUUCCCUUAUCCACCUCCUCAAAAAAGGUUAAUAUUGAAAAUGGUGAUUGAGAAUGAACUGUAUGAGGGCAUACUGCUAGUGUGUGCAUAUAUGUGCACAUGUGCAUCAGUUACUGGAUUUCAAAGUUGUCUUUUUAAAUCGUCUGGAGCUUCUGAGGGCAAAGCAAAAGCAGACAAAAUGCUCCAAGAGUGCAGAAGAGUAGAUUUCUGACAAAAAGAAGAAAGGCACAGAAGGAGCAUAACUGACAUCAGGAGCCCCACUAGCUAUUUAGUUGGAAGCCAGAUGGUUGGAAAGCACUUGUUCUGGAUGCACCUCAGUUUUUACACAUCAAAGAAUAAGAUACACUGUAGAGAUGGAACUUUGAAGACGGAAAUUAAUAGGGUCUAUGCUUCGUCCUUCAGAAAACCUCAGAUCCAAAAUAUCAUGAAUUUGGCAGUUUCAAGUUUUGGUCAUAGUGGCAGAGACUGAUCAAUCCCACCCAUGGGAGAACUGCAGAACUAACUACUGUACAGUGAAGUCUGCUUCUCUUUACAAUCUGAAAAAGACUAUUUAA